rnacentral:rRNA from 1 species
AACAGGAUUAGAUACCCUGGUAGUCCAUGCCGUAAACGAUGAGUGCUAGGUGUUGGAGGGUUUCCGCCCUUCAGUGCCGCAGCUAACGCAUUAAGCACUCCGCCUGGGGAGUACGACCGCAAGGUUGAAACUCAAAGGAAUUGACGGGGGCCCGCACAAGCGGUGGAGCAUGUGGUUUAAUUCGAAGCUACGCGAAGAACCUUACCAGGUCUUGACAUCUUGCGCUAACCUAAGAGAUUAGGCGUUCCCUUCGGGGACGCAAUGACAGGUGGUGCAUGGUCGUCGUCAGCUCGUGUCGUGAGAUGUUGGGUUAAGUCCCGCAACGAGCGCAACCCUUGUUACUAGUUGCCAGCAUUCAGUUGGGCACUCUAGUGAGACUGCCGGUGACAAACCGGAGGAAGGUGAGGACGACGUCAGAUCAUCAUGCCCCUUAUGACCUGGGCUACACACGUGCUACAAUGGCCGGUACAACGAGCAGCUAACCCGCGAGGGUGUGCAAAUCUCUUAAAGCCGGUCUCAGUUCGGACUGCAGUCUGCAACUCGACUGCACGAAGUCGGAAUCGCUAGUAAUCGCGGAUCAGCAUGCCGCGGUGAAUACGUUCCCGGGCCUUGUACACACCGCCCGUCACACCAUGGAAGUUUGCAAUGCCCAAAGUCAGUGGCCUAACCAUUUUGGAGGGAGCUGCCUAAGGCAGGGCAGAUGACUGGGGUGAAGUCGUAACAAGGUAACC